AUACGUAGGGGGCAAGCGUUGUCCGGAAUGAUUGGGCGUAAAGGGCGCGUAGGCGGCCUGUUAAGUCUGGAGUGAAAGUCCUGCUUUCAAGGUGGGAAUUGCUUUGGAAACUGGCGGGCUGGAGUGCAGGAGAGGUUAGCGGAAUUCCCGGUGUAGCGGUGAAAUGCGUAGAGAUCGGGAGGAACACCAGUGGCGAAGGCGGCUAACUGGACUGUGUCUGACGCUGAGGCGCGAAAGCCAGGGGAGC
rnacentral:rRNA from 1 species